GUCAGUGCACGGGAUGAGAUAGACAGCAAAGAAGACACAGUUAAAUUGUAACACUCGAUUCCGUGUUAAACAAAAGAAUUACGUAUAAAAACCUUGCCAUCUUAUUGGUCUCAACUGUCUUGAUUCGAAGAUGUUUCUUAGCUGCGGUCUUAUGACGAAGAAGAUGUGGUUUCAGCUCAUCUGCCUGUCUGUUUUCUACGUUUGUUUUGCCGCUGCAGCCGAAGCAGAGGUGUCUGUUCUUGUCGGUGGCACAGCUGUAAUGACGUGUCCUAUUGGUGACGUCACUGCCUACAGAACCACGUGGAUGAAAGGGAGCGUCCUAUUGGCUGAGAUACCGCAAGCGGGACCGCCUCUUAUCCCACCAACGGGAGCAGGGAGAGUGAGUGUAAACGGAAGUGACGUCAUAAUCCAAGGGGUCGCACUUCCGGAUGAAGGCUCCUAUAGCUGUUCUGUACUGGAUACAAGUUUUGCUACUGUGAUGUCUACCGUGGACCUCCUAGUUAGGGGUAGGUACUUUUGUUACCUGAGAAAA